AUUGAACGCUGGCGGCAUGCUUUACACAUGCAAGUCGAACGGCAGCGGGGAGGAGCUUGCUUCUCUGCCGGCGAGUGGCGAACGGGUGAGUAAUACAUCGGAACGUGUCGAGAAGAGGGGGAUAACCACCCGAAAGGGUGGCUAAUACCGCAUAAAUUCUGAGGAAGAAAGCUGGGGACCUGGGAAUAGGCCUAGCGCUUUUUGAGCGGCCGAUGUCGGAUUAGCUAGUUGGUGAGGUAAAGGCUCACCAAGGCGAAGAUCUGUAGCGGGUCUGAGAGGAUGGUCCGCCACACUGGGACUGAGACACGGCCCAGACUCCUACGGGAGGCAGCAGUGGGGAAUUUUGGACAAUGGGGGCAACCCUGAUCCAGCCAUGCCGCGUGUAUGAAGAAGGCCUUAGGGUUGUAAAGUACUUUUGUUAGGGAAGAAAAGUCAGCUGUGAAUAAUGGCUGAUACUGACGGUACCUAAAGAAUAAGCACCGGCUAACUACAUG
rnacentral:rRNA from 1 species